UCACAAGCCCAGUGAGGAGGAAUGUACAGAGGCACUCUGGCCACAGCUCCUUUGCCAUGCUAAGAUUUAUCACUUUCCUCUUAAGUUUCUAUCGAAUAUAGAAGUGUUAAAACAAGAAAAGAGUUGGAAGGUACUUAAAGUGAACAUGAUUUCUUGGAAGGUAUAAUGUAUUUGUUAAACUGUAAUAUAUGUUUGCCCUAAAAGUGUUAGUUUAAGGAAGCUCUUGUAUCUGUCGUCUCUGUGCACAUUUGGCCACAGGAAAGUAUGAACCUAGCUGUUCUUCAUUGUAUAUUUUUUGAAAUAAACAUCAAGUUCCUUCGAGGUAGUGUUUACACAACUUUGUAUUCCUCAGAAUUCCUAUUUUAGUACCUUUCCAGAGUAAGUGCUCAAUAAAUAUUUGUUGAUGAAACUGCCCUAGAAAUGAUGCUAGGUGCUGGACAUACAAAGAUGAAUGAUACUGUUUCCUCUCUGAAGGCAUUAGUGUUGUCGUAAUAAACAAUAGGACUUUUUAGGACAGAAAAUGCUAUGGAAGAGUUAUACACAGCUCAAGGGAUAUACACAAGCACAGCACCUAUCCCAGACAAGGAGAGACUUCAACUGACCCCUCAAGGAUGAACAGUGGUAAAGACUCAGAAACGAUACCCCCAAUAGAAGCCACAGAGUGUGCAAUGAGCAAGAAACACGAGAGAAUGAGGCUGAGAGAAGACAGCAAAAUGACUAGAGGAUGAAUGCUUGAAGAGUAAAAAUCAAAUCCUAGCCAUCCAUCCAGCUCUUCAGUUUCCAUUUGUACCUCCAUUCUCUGUGCUCAGCUCACACUGUUUUUAGUUCCUCAGACGCUCUAUCCUCCAUCUUGCUUAAAAGAGAGCAUAUGUUUUUCUCCCUGGUUGAAAUUUUUUUUCUCAUUUUGUGCUUAAAACCGAUACUCAACCUUGAAAUCUUAACUCAAAUAUCACCUCCUUGGAGAGGGAGGCCUUUCCAAACCCCUAGAAUAUGUGAUGUAUUUUUUACACGGAUACAUCCUCUGUGUUUCCUCCCUAGCACUCAUCACUUUUUUGUAUUAUGUAUUUCUAUGUGUAAUUUUGAAAUUAAUGUCUGCAUCCCAUGCUAGACCAUAUGUUCCGUGAAACCAUAGACUCUGUCUAUUUUAUUUAACAUUUACCCCCAUAAACUAGCAAACUACCUUUCAUAUACAAAGUACUCUAUAAACAUUUCUUGAUUGAAUGAAUAAGUGAUGAAGGCAGAGAGAGAUUAGAGAAAUUAGCAAGAGUCCAGAGAGUUCAGACAUCAUAGGCAAUACUAAGAUUUUAUGCUUUAUCCUUUAUUUCAACUUUAUUCUGAAGUCCCUAGGGAGAAAUUGAAAUUUAAAUCGGGAAGUUCAUUUUAUAAAGAUUGCUCUGACUACAUGUUAAAAAUUAAUCAAAGUGGGAUAUGUCUGUAGGUAAAGAGUUGAAUUAAAGAUUACUACAUUAACUCACACAACAAAUUAUGGUGACCUGAACAAGGAAUUAGCUGCUGAGAUAGAAGGAAGUGUGAGAUUUGAAACAUAUUAAAGAGAUCAGAAAAAUGGGACUUAGUAACUGCUUGGAGAUGGAAAAGGACAAUUAGACAAUGAGGUUUUUAAAAGAUUGUGGUAAAAUACCCAUAACCUAGAUUUUACCAUCUUAAUCAUUUACCAUCUUAAUCAACCAUCAGCACCAUCCAUCUCCAGAACAUUUUCAUCUUUACAAACAAAAAUUCUGUGCCGAUUAAAUAAUAACUGCCCAUUUCCCUUCCCUCCUCAACUUCCAGUAACCAUUAUUUUACUUCUUUCUAUGAAUUUGAAUACUCUAGGUACCUUAUAUAAUUGGAAUCAUACAGUGUUUGUCCUUUUGAGAUGGGAUUAUCCUCAAGGUUUAUUCAUAUUGUAGAAUGUUUAAAAAUUUAUUUUCUUUUUAAGGCUGAAUAACAUUCCAUUUUAUUCACACUUUGUUUGUACAUUCAUCUGUUGAUGAAGGCUUGGGUUGCUUCCAGUUUUUGGCUUUUGUGAAUAAUUCUGCUAUGAAUAUGAUUUUAUCUGUUUUCAAUUCAUUUGAGUAUAUAUAAUCAGAAGUAAAAUUGCUGGAUAAUAUGGUAACUCUAUUUUUAAUUUUUUGAGGAACUUCCAUAGUGUUUUUCAUAGUGGCUGCACCAUUUUAUACUUCCAUCAAAAGUGCAUAAAGGUUUCAGUUUUUCCACA
rnacentral:lncRNA from 1 species